UACGAAGGGGGCUAGCGUUGCUCGGAAUCACUGGGCGUAAAGCGCACGUAGGCGGCUUUUAAGUCAGGGGUGAAAUCCUGGAGCUCAACUCCAGAACUGCCUUUGAUACUGAGAAGCUUGAGUCCGGGAGAGGUGAGUGGAACUGCGAGUGUAGAGGUGAAAUUCGUAGAUAUUCGCAAGAACACCAGUGGCGAAGGCGGCUCACUGGCCGGUACUGACGCUGAGGUGCGAAGCGUGGGAGCAAACAGG
rnacentral:rRNA from 1 species